ACAUACGGCCAUAGAUGGUGGAAAACUCGGGAUCCCGUCCGCUCUCCCAUAGAUAAGCCACCAAUCGCUUGACUAGUAGUUGGGUCGGUGACGACCAGCGAAUCCCAGGUGCUGUAUGUU
rnacentral:rRNA from 10 species